rnacentral:misc_RNA from 1 species
AAAGUCGUAACAAGGUUUCCGUAGGUGAACCUGCGGAAGGAUCAUUACAAAAUGUCACGGGGCCCUCAUUGUAGCAGCAAUGUUAUCUUGGGGGUCACGGUACAAUCACUUUGAACCCGCCAGCAAUGGUUGGGGGAUAACGUGUCCACCCUCUUGUGAAACUUCUAUAUUGCUUCGGCAGCGCUCUCAACGGGUAACCGUUGGCGAGGUAAGGCUGUCAGAAGACCACUUAUAAAACUAGUAUUGAUGAAAUGUCAUGCAGUCUGAUAACUAUUCUUUGAGAAAUCAAAUUAUGUUAAAACUUUCAGCAACGGAUCUCUUGGUUCUC